CGUCUAUCAGAGGAGUCAAUCACGUACACCAGGGCAUGCGUCUUCCCCAGGUACUCUGCCCAGUACAUACGCAAAUCCUCAGCCCCUCCAACUGGAAGACAGCAGACAGAGGUAGGAAGGAAAUGCAGCUGACGGGCAGGGGUACUGAGGCUCAUAAAGUUGAAACCCCUGGUGGGACGGCAGUGCCCUCUCUUGUCUCCGUCUGUGGCUGUCAACCCCUGAAGCAUACUGCUCUUCCCAGCUCCGUCAAGGCCAAGGACUAGCACCUGGCGCUGUCCAUCCUCCUCCUGCUCAACAUGCAGAGACAGCAGGAUGCCAUCAGAACACCUGUUCUCUCACAACAGCAACAUGAAGUUAUCUUAUCCCAUUUUUCUCUUCAAAGGUACAGAUACAUAGAUCAUUGUUACUCCUGUAAAGUGCAGAACUGCAAUAUGUUUUGUUUACAUACAGUGCAUUCGGAAAGUAUUCAGACCCCUUGACUUUUUCCACAUUUUGUUACGUUACAGCACUAUUCUAAAAUGGAUUAAAUACCAAAAAUUCCUCAAUCUACACUCAAUACCCCAUAAUGACAAAGCGAGAACACGUUUUUAAUACAAAACAGAAAUACCUUUGCUAUGGGAUUUUUUUUAAUCAAUAAUGACUAAUUAUGUAUACAUUUCAAAUCAGGACUGACUAAUCAGAAUACUAUUAUGUUAUUGUAUAGAUGUAUGAAUUUUCUUUUAAUCCUAGUACUGAAUAUAAUGUGUGUAAAUAUAAUCAAGAAGUAGAACAAUGACUGUCUGUUCCUUGGUAGAAAUGAAUGAAUUUAUCGUCAAACUGGCUGGAAUGCUUAUCUACACAGGCAGACCUAGGCUCGGUCAUAAAUCAUCUAAGUUGGGAGAGACGAUGUGGGAAGGCUUGAGAACUAUACAGCCAUUGAACUGGAGUGGAGACGGGGUAGUACGAAAACUAAUGAUGUCAUUUUCAGUUUAUAACCUCUGGUAAACUGUAUCAUGUUCAGUACUCUCGAUAAUAAACGCUGCUGAUUGAUUUUGA